rnacentral:rRNA from 1 species
UACGGGGGGGGCAAGCGUUGUUCGGAAUUACUGGGCGUAAAGGGCUCGUAGGUGGCCAACUAAGUCAGACGUGAAAUCCCUCGGCUUAACCGGGGAACUGCGUCUGAUACUGGAUGGCUUGAGUUUGGGAGAGGGAUGCGGAAUUCCAGGUGUAGCGGUGAAAUGCGUUGAUAUCCUAAGGAACACCGGUGGCGAAAGCGGCUCACUGGAUCUCUUCUGACGCUGAGGCACGAAAGCUAGGGUAGCGAACGGG